UAGAGUUUGAUCAUGGCUCAGGAUGAACGCUAGCGACAGGCUUAACACAUGCAAGUCGAGGGGCAGCGGGGGUGAUGGCUUGCCAUCACCUGCCGGCGACCGGCGCACGGGUGAGUAACACGUAUGCAACCUGCCCGCCACAGGGGGAUAAGCGGAAGAAAUUCCGUCUAAUACCGCGUGACGCGGCGUCGGGGCAUCCCGGUGCCGCCAAAGGGAUUACCGGUGGCGGAUGGGCAUGCGGCGCAUUAGCUAGUCGGCGGGGUAACGGCCCACCGAGGCGACGAUGCGUAGGGGUUCUGAGAGGAAGGUCCCCCACACUGGUACUGAGACACGGACCAGACUCCUACGGGAGGCAGCAGUGAGGAAUAUUGGUCAAUGGGCGGGAGCCUGAACCAGCCAAGUCGCGUGAGGGAUGACGGUCCUACGGAUUGUAAACCUCUUUUGCCGGGGAGCAAGCGUGCGUUCGUGAACGCGCGUCGAGAGUACCCGGAGAAAAAGCAUCGGCUAACUCCGUGCCAGCAGCCGCGGUAAUACGGAGGAUGCGAGCGUUAUCCGGAUUUAUUGGGUUUAAAGGGUGCGUAGGCGGGAUGCCAAGUCAGCGGUAAAAAUGCGGUGCUCAACGCCGUCGAGCCGUUGAAACUGGCGUUCUUGAGUGGGCGAGAAGUAUGCGGAAUGCGUGGUGUAGCGGUGAAAUGCAUAGAUAUCACGCAGAACUCCGAUUGCGAAGGCAGCAUACCGGCGCCCUACUGACGCUGAGGCACGAAAGCGUGGGUAUCGAACAGGAUUAGAUACCCUGGUAGUCCACGCAGUAAACGAUGAAUGCUAACUGUCCGGUGCGAGUGAGCGCUGGGCGGUACAGCGAAAGCGUUAAGCAUUCCACCUGGGGAGUACGCCGGCAACGGUGAAACUCAAAGGAAUUGACGGGGGCCCGCACAAGCGGAGGAACAUGUGGUUUAAUUCGAUGAUACGCGAGGAACCUUACCCGGGCUCAAACGCAGGAUGACGGGUCCCGAAAGGGGCCUUUCUUCGGACAUUCUGCGAGGUGCUGCAUGGUUGUCGUCAGCUCGUGCCGUGAGGUGUCGGCUUAAGUGCCAUAACGAGCGCAACCCCUGUCCACAGUUGCCAGCAGGUAAAGCUGGGGACUCUGUGGAGACUGCCGGCGCAAGCUGCGAGGAAGGCGGGGAUGACGUCAAAUCAGCACGGCCCUUACGUCCGGGGCGACACACGUGUUACAAUGGCAGGUACAGCGGGAUGCCACGGGGCGACCCGGCGCUGAACCCGAAAACCUGUCUCAGUUCGGAUUGGAGUCUGCAACCCGACUCCAUGAAGCUGGAUUCGCUAGUAAUCGCGCAUCAGCCACGGCGCGGUGAAUACGUUCCCGGGCCUUGUACACACCGCCCGUCAAGCCAUGGAAGCCGGGGGUACCUGAAGUGCGUGACCGCGAGGAGCGCCCUAGGGUAAAACCGGUGACUGGGGCUAAGUCGUAACAAGGUAACCGUAA
rnacentral:rRNA from 1 species